AGGGGCUGCUCGUGGUGAGAAGUAUCAAGCGGGCUGCUAGAUGGAGACGGGGGCUGCUCCUGGUGAGAAGUAUCAAGUGGGCUGCUAGAUGGAGACGGGGGCUGCUCCUGGGAUUGGUUUUUUAUGCUGUCCCACGAAGUCCUGAACCCCAUGUACUGCCUGUUUCAGUACGCCAACAAGAAUACAUGUAACUACUGUCUGCAGAUCAACCUGGCCUCGUCCGUCAACCCAGACCAUCUCCAGUAGGAAGAUUCAUCGCCAUGGUGAGAAGUCAUACAAUAUGUCUGCAGAUGGAACAUAACACUGAUUUUGUUUGGGGUCCUGGUUGCCCUCCACGAUCUUACCCUCUCUGGGGUGAUCUUGGAUGGGUCUUUGCAAACUAACUACUUGGUCCAGAAUGAAAUCAAUAUUAUUGCAGUCAUAAAAAGAAUAGACUAUUUCGAGCUGGACAUGGAGAUGACAUUCGUUGCAGACUUUGAGAUCCUAGGAAAGAUCGAGACGGUAGAUCUCAAGGAAGGCGGCAAAGAUAUUGACGUCACCGAGGCUAUUUUAUGACGAAAGGCUGCUGUGAAGAAACAAGUGGUGUGGCCAACAUUCCACACCAGCCUCGGGACACCCUCUGGAAGAGCAUCAACGAGACGAGACACCAGCAGCAGCGCCUCCACCACCAUCAUUCACUCGAGCGGCGGCGGAGGCAGUGGUCAGGUCUACCGCGCCACCACUCCCUAUUCACGCUAAAACAGACUCUGUCUUUCAAGGUGGAGAAGGAAGAUGAUUAUGAUGAGUGUAGCAAAUAGGACUAUGUGGACAAACUUGAACAUCCUGGAGGAUAUCCUAGAUUUUGAAGUGGAAAUAAAAAGAUGUUUGCUGCUCGACCAGAUUCAUGUUAAAGCAGAAAUUCUUCACGAUUGAGGAGGACAAAUUCAGGUAGAGAAAGAUGAUGAUUAUGACGUGUAUAGCAAAUAAGACUGUGGACAAACAUGAACAUCCUGGAGGAUAUCUUUAAAUCUAGAGUGGAAAGAAAAGAUGACAUCUCACAUCUACCACUCAACAGAAUCAAGAUCAUAUAUUUAUAUUUAUGGUGAACUGUCUUGCAUGUACCCGUUUGUUUGUUUGUUUUCCUGUCCGCUGCCAGUCUACACAGCGGCUGUAGAGUCGCUCAAGUCGCGAAAAAGCUGAAAAGUGGGUGGAAGGGGCGUACAUGGCAGGGGUACCUUUCCUGCAUGCCUAGGAAAUUGCUGACAAACGCAGACAAAAAAC